GAGGCAGCAGUGAGGAAUAUUGCGCAAUGGGCGAAAGCCUGACGCACGACGCAGCGUGGAGGAUGACGGAUUUCGGUCUGUAAACUCCUGUCAGUAGGGAAGAGAAUGGACGGUACCUACUGAGGAAGCUUCGCUAACUACGUGCCAGCAGCCGCGG
rnacentral:rRNA from 1 species